rnacentral:rRNA from 1 species
UACGUAGGGGGCAAGCGUUGUCCGGAUUUAUUGGGCGUAAAGAGCGUGUAGGCGGCCAGGUAGGUCAGCUGUGAAAACUCGAGGCUCAACCUCGAGACGCCGGUUGAAACCAUCUGGCUAGAGUCCGGAAGAGGAGAGUGGAAUUCCUGGUGUAGCGGUGAAAUGCACAGAUAUCAGGAGGAACACCGGUGGCGAAGGCGGGUCUCUGGGCCGAUACUGACGCUGAGGAGCGAAAGCGUGGGGAGCGAACAGG